rnacentral:rRNA from 1 species
UUANGAAUCUGCCAUUUAGUGGGGGACAACAUUCCGAAAGGAAUGCUAAUACCGCAUACGUCCUACGGGAGAAAGCAGGGGAUCUUCGGACCUUGCGCUAAAUGAUGAGCCUAAGUCGGAUUAGCUAGUUGGCGGGGUAAAGGCUUACCAAGGCGACGAUCUGUAGCGGGUCUGAGAGGAUGAUCCGCCACACUGGGACUGAGACACGGCCCAGACUCCUACGGGAGGCAGCAGUGGGGAAUAUUGGACAAUGGGCGGAAGCCUGAUCCAGCCAUGCCGCGUGUGUGAAGAAGGCCUUUUGGUUGUAAAGCACUUUAAGCGAGGAGGAGGCUACUAGUACUAAUACUACUGGAUAGUGGACGUUACUCGCAGAAUAAGCACCGGCUAACUCUGUGCCAGCAGCCGCGGUAAUACAGAGGGUGCGAGCGUUAAUCGGAUUUACUGGGCGUAAAGCGUGCGUAGGCGGCUUUUUAAGUCGGAUGUGAAAUCCCCGAGCUUAACUUGGGAAUUGCAUUCGAUACUGGGAAGCUAGAGUAUGGGAGAGGAUGGUAGAAUUCCAGGUGUAGCGGUGAAAUGCGUAGAGAUCUGGAGGAAUACCGAUGGCGAAGGCAGCCAUCUGGCCUAAUACUGACGCUGAGGUACGAAAGCAUGGGGAGCAAACAGGAUUAGAUACCCUGGUAGUCCAUGCCGUAAACGAUGUCUACUAGCCGUUGGGGCCUUUGAGGCUUUAGUGGCGCAGCUANNGCGAUAAGUAGACCGCCUGGGGAGUACGGUCGCAAGACUAAAACUCAAAUGAANUGACGGGGGCCCGCACAAGCGGUGGANCAUGUGGUUUAAUUCNAUGCA